GUGGGGAAUAUUGGGCAAUGGGGGCAACCCUGACCCAGCAACGCCGCGUGAAGGAAGAAGGCUUUCGGGUUGUAAACUUCUUUGACCAGGGACGAAACAAAUGACGGUACCUGGAAAACAAGCCACGGCUAACUACGUGCCAGCAGCCGCGGUAAUACGUAGGUGGCGAGCGUUGUCCGGAUUUACUGGGUGUAAAGGGCGCGUAGGCGGGAUGGCAAGUCAGAUGUGAAAUCUGAGGGCUUAACCCUCAAACUGCAUUUGAAACUGCUGUUCUUGAGUGAUGGAGAGGCAGGCGGAAUUCCUAGUGUAGCGGUGAAAUGCGUAGAUAUUAGGAGGAACACCAGUGGCGAAGGCGGCCUGCUGGACAUUAACUGACGCUGAGGCGCGAAAGCGUGGGGAGCAAACAGGAUUAGAUACCCUUGUAGUCC
rnacentral:rRNA from 1 species